CACCCAUCGGCUUUGCCCUGCUCCUGGCCAGGGCUGGGCUCUUGCCAAACACCCAAAUUGGCCAUAUUGCAUGUUUCACACACUUGCUUCCCUGUGAAUGUCCUCACCUUAAAACCAGAGUGGAAGAGUCGGGACUGCACAGUGAGAAGGACUGUGGCUCACAGAUCCAGCUUCUGGAAAGCUCAUGGAAUGGCCACUAGGGAGAAGAAAUUGAUGGGAUUAAGUGCUGAUUGAAAGCAGACACCAAAAAUCCCCCCAAAAGAAGAAACACGUAUUCUUCAUAGUAUGCUGGCAGCUGGACAGUUCUUCACUGUUUAGAGAUAAACUAUGUGUACAGGAACUUCACCUAAACAUCUACUGGUGUUUUAAAUAGUAAAUAAAUAAAUAACCUUACUGCUGUGCUAAUUCA
rnacentral:lncRNA from 1 species